GAUGAAGAACGCAGCGAAAUGCGAUACUUGGUGUGAAUUGCAGAAUCCCGUGAACCAUCGAGUCUUUGAACGCAAGUUGCGCCCGAAGCCAUUAGGCCGAGGGCACGCCUGCCUGGGCGUCAAACGUCGUUGCCCCCCCCAUCUACUCCUUCGGGAUUGCGGGGGGCGGAUGAUGGCCUCCCGUGCGCCUCGCCGCGCGGUUGGCAUAAAUGCCAAGUCCUCGGCGAUGCACGCCACGACAAUCGGUGGUUGCGAAACCUCGGUUGCCCGUCGUGUGCGGUCGUCGCGCAUCGAGGGCUCGAAAAAAUUGCCGGGUUCCGGCUCGGCUUUCAACGCGACCCCAGGUCAGGCGGGGUUACCCGCUGAAUUUAAGCAUAUCAAUAAGCGGAGGA
rnacentral:misc_RNA from 1 species